rnacentral:rRNA from 1 species
CGCGAAAACUUUACAAUGCCGGCAACGGCGAUAAGGGAACCUCGAGUGCCAGGUUACAAAUCUGGCUGUCGUGAUGCCUAAAAAGCAUUGCAUAGCAAGGGCCGGGCAAGACCGGUGCCAGCCGCCGCGGUAACACCGGCGGCUCGAGUGGUAACCGUUAUUAUUGGGUCUAAAGGGUCUGUAGCCGGCCGGAUAAGUCUCUUGGGAAAUCUGGCAGCUUAACUGUCAGGCUUUCAGGAGAUACUGUCUGGCUCGAGGCCGGGAGAGGUGAGAGGUACUUCAGGGGUAGGGGUGAAAUCUUGUAAUCCUUGAAGGACCACCAGUGGCGAAGGCGUCUCACCAGAACGGACCUGACGGCAAGGGACGAAAGCUAGGGGCACGAACCGGAUUAGAUACCCGGGUAGUCCUAGCCGUAAACGAUACUCGCUAGGUGUCGGCCACGGUGCGACCGUGGUCGGUGCCGUAGGGAAGCCGUGAAGCGAGCCACCUGGGAAGUACGGCCGCAAGGCUGAAACUUAAAGGAAUUGGCGGGGGAGCAC